rnacentral:rRNA from 1 species
GAUGAGCGCUAGCUACAGGCUUAACACAUGCAAGUCGAGGGGUAACGAGAGGAAAGCUUGCUUUCCUUGUCGACGACCGGCGCACGGGUGAGUAACGAGUAUCCAACCUGCCCCCAACUAGGGAAUAACCUUGCGAAAGUAAGACUAAUACCCUAUAAUUUCCUCAGAUGUCAUCUGACGAGGAAUAAAGAUUUAUCGGUUGUGGAUGGGGAUGCGUCUGAUUAGCUUGUUGGCGGGGUAACGGCCCACCAAGGCAACGAUCAGUAGGGGUUCUGAGAGGAAGGUCCCCCACAUUGGAACUGAGACACGGUCCAAACUCCUACGGGAGGCAGCAGUGAGGAAUAUUGGUCAAUGGGCGGAAGCCUGAACCAGCCAAGUAGCGUGCAGGAUGACGGCCCUAUGGGUUGUAAACUGCUUUUAUACAGGAAUAAAGUUAGCCACGUGUGGUUAUUUGUAGGUACUGUAUGAAUAAGGACCGGCUAAUUCCGUGCCAGCCGCCGCGGUAA